CUCCCCUCCUCCUUGGCGCCUACUCCUCCAGGCCCCGACACACUACCCCGCGUGUCUGGCCCCAGGCAACUUCUUGUCCGGUUCCCCCCCUCGAACCCUCCCUCCCCAGCACCUCCUAGAGAAACCCAGGAUAAGAAAGCCCCAGGAGCCAGGGCUGGCUUCGCCCUCCUGUAGACUGCGGGGAGCCAAGCUGCACAGCCAGGUGGAGUUCCCGACCUCACCACCACUACCACCGCUUCCAAGCAGCGUGGACCCCAGGCCGCGCUCUAUGACCCUGACUCUCCCUGUCCCAGCCUGACAGCUAUUUCACCCUAGAGCUGCCUGGGAAAAGAGAGCCCCCACUGAAGAACGGCAUGGCUCAUACUGGCCUGUGCUACUGUCUUCACUAAUAACUGAGAUGGGCGGGCCCAGUCCAUUAUGGGUGGUACCGUGUCUCGGCUGUAUAAGAAAACCAGCUGAGCAGGAGCCACCCAGUGAGCAAACCAGCUAACGGUGUUUCCCCGUGGUUCUUGCAUUGCCCUGACUUCCUUCAAUGAUGGACUGUGACCUGAAAAUAUAAGCUGAGGUAAACCCUUUCCUCCCUUAAAUUGCUUUUGGUCCUGGUGUUUAUUACAGUAACAGAAAUCAAACUGGAUCACCUUGUCUAGUAAAUGUUUUGCAGAAGCUGGACAUUGUGGCUUAGCAAGCCGUGGCAGGAGGAAUUCCAGGCCAGCCUCAGCAGUACAGUGAGUUCCCAGCUAGCCUAAGCUACAGUAUCAAACUCGGCCUAGGAGAACAGCAACAACAAAAUAAAGCUGCUUAGAAUUUCACUUCCACAAAGAAGAUACUUUUCCCACAGUUCCUAAAGUAGAAUGAACUCCUGUCCACAUUCUGUUUCCCCACUUCCUGUUUUUUUUUUUUUUGGUUUUUGGUUUUUCUGGUUUUCCAUACAGGGUUACUCUGUAUAGCUCUGGCUCUCCUAGAACUCACUCUGUAGACCAGGCUGGCCUCAAAAUGAUAGAGAUCCACCCGCCUCUGCCUCUCAAGUGAUGGGAUUAAAGGCGUGUGCCACCAUGGCCAGAUUUUUUUUUUAAUUCAUAUAAUUCAUUAUGUUGCCCUAACUACUCUAGAACUCACUAGGUAAGAGAAGGUGGCCUUAAACUUGCAUUGAUUCUCCUGCCUGAGUGUUGAUGAUUACUGGUAUGAGCCACCAUGCCUAUUUUCCCAGUCUUGUUAGAGACAUGCCCUUAACUCCAAGAUAAGGGAAAACACCGCCAGAGCUUGGGAAGAUAACACUGGGGCGUGGCAGGGACUUUGUGAUCUGUCCCCGUGGAGGAAACCACAGACUUCAUGCACAGGAAUUCAGGCCCAGUGUCUCCAGGCACUCUUCUUAGUUUGGGAUGUUGAUAAUUCUUUAAAAUUGCAGAGCAAGGGGCCAGAGGACACAGGUUGAGUCCCAGCACCCGCAUGGCCGCUCAAACAACUGUAACCCCCGUUCCAGUGAAUCUAAGGCUUUUUUCUGACCUCACUGGGCACCAGGCACCCAUGUGGUGCACAGACAUACAUGCAAGCAAAACACUCAUACACGUAAAAUAAAUACAUCUUAAAAAAAAAAAAAAAGGAACAACCUCCAGAAUAGAGGAAGAGUAACAAAGCAAAUGUGACUACAAGUAUCCAUGUAGCCUGUUGGCUACAGAUUCUCUCUCCAGGGCAACUUCGAAGAAGCUUGCACAUUUCGGUCAUCCCGGCCAUUCCCAAGGUCACAGCCCUGGGGAAUUUCCACUGCUCUCCUUACUCAGCAUAGUUAGGCCCUGGCUGAGUGUGUGAGUUUGUGUUCACGCCCCACGCUGAAGAUCAGAACAUCACAUGAAAGAUGGAUUCACUUUACUUUCUCUAGUUUUCUGGGGGUUUCCGGGAUGCCUGGGCUUCCCCUCCCCCGAUCCCAGUCUCCUGCUCACGGCGUUCCUUGCAGGCAGGAUCCUGCUAGUCAAGGCUGAGCCAGGUAGUCCGCCAGAACACUGUCUGCUAGGUGCUACCUCCAGGAAUCUUCUGGGAAACACUGGGCCCUCAUUCCUGUGCACAACUCUGUGGUCUCUUUCACAGGAAGUGAGCACAGUCCCUGCCAAGCCUUAGAAGGCCACCCAAGGCCCAGGAGACCUUUCUGUUCAGAUCCACAAGAAGAUCUGGGAGCCAGGUACUGAAAACUCAUAUCUGCCUGGAGUGGCCUAGAUAGGCCCCACAAAGGAACACGUCAGGGAUAGCUGUUAACAGGGGUUCCAGCUGUGAGUUCACAGGGAUUCCGGGGUUGCGGAGGGCCUUGUGCUGGGAUUCACGGCUUCAAUGAUGUUUCAAAAUUCUUAAAUGUGUGCAUGUGGCUCAUCUUGUGCUCAUGUGUGCAUUCAUGUGUAUGGAGCCUGCGGACUAGCUUGGGUGCCACCUUGUGCCUGGAUUUUCAUUUUUUUUUUUGGUUCUUUUUGUUUUUCAAGACAGGGUUUCUCUGUGUAGCUUUGGCUGUCCCGGAACUCACCCUGUAGGCCAGACUGGCCUCGACUGGAACUCUCAGAGAUCUGCCUGCCUCUGCUUCCUGAGUUAUUUAUUUUUGUUGUUGUUAUUAUUUUCAGACUAGGGCCUUGUGUUGCCCUAAGACCUAGAAAUUCACGCUUGCGAAGGACCUACUGGAAACCAUUGCUGGGGGAAGCUAUGGUGGGGGUUCAGUUUGCUCUGUCUUUCGCCUCUGCUGGGUAGCAGAAGGGAAGACGUAGACAUCAGAAAGGGGGUUGGGGUUGAUGCAUUCCCAUCAGCCCUGUGUAGACUCGUUUGACCGUCCGGAGGAUUUAGAGCCCAGUGGUUGGGAAAUCAAGAGGUGAGGGAGAAGCACAGUCCAGCCAGUGGGCAGGGACUGCUGUGGUCUGGGCUCUGUGGUAUCCCCUGACCCUGACCUCAGGCUGACAGAGAGCCACUA